ACUCCUACGGGAGGCAGCAGUGGGGAAUAUUGCACAAUGGGCGCAAGCCUGAUGCAGCCAUGCCGCGUGUAUGAAGAAGGCCUUCGGGUUGUAAAGUACUUUCAGCAGUGAGGAAGGUGGAUGCGUUAAUAGCGUAUUCAUUUGACGUUAGCUGCAGAAGAAGCACCGGCUAACUCCGUGCCAGCAGCCGCGGUAAUACGGAGGGUGCGAGCGUUAAUCGGAAUUACUGGGCGUAAAGCGCACGUAGGCGGACUAUUAAGUUAGAGGUGAAAUCCCAGGGCUCAACCCUGGAACUGCCUUUAAUACUGGUAGUCUUGAGUUCGAGAGAGGUGAGUGGAAUUCCGAGUGUAGAGGUGAAAUUCGUAGAUAUUCGGAGGAACACCAGUGGCGAAGGCGGCUCACUGGCUCGAUACUGACGCUGAGGUGCGAAAGUGUGGGGAGCAAACAGGAUUAGAUACCCUGGUAGACAUC
rnacentral:rRNA from 1 species